UGCCGUUUGUCGUUUGGGCUGUUUCUUCGUUAUGUGUACGUACAAUCCUAUUGGGCUUAGGUUAAGGGAGUGAUUUGGCCCAGUCAACUAUAGUAUGUGGUAACCCUAAUUUUUUUUUGUCAAAAAAUCAAAUCUGUUCAUCCCUUCUCUCCCUUAUUCGGCGACGAUGACGGUAGAACUUCCUCAACGUCCAUGAAACGGGUCUGUGAUUAAUCCCAUCAAUUGAGAGGUCGGGUAUAAAUAGUCCGGCAAGUGUUCUGCUGCGAUUCUGGGAGGCCAGGAAUGUCAGGCGCUCAUGUGGCUUGAUAUGCUGAUGGUGGAUGUUAAUAUUUAGAUGUAUCACUUGGAAAUAUAUUCUCUUCCCUGAAACAAAGAAUAUCACCAUUAUUUGUUUCCAGAGGCUGAUAAGAUCAAAGACUGAAACCAAAGGUUAUCAACCACGCUGAUACAUUUAGAUCGGUUUCAGACAAUGAAACCAAACUUCAGGAAGAGAAAGUUUGAAAGUUGAUCCCAGCUGGAGUCUCCAGCGUUGUUGUCUCCUACAGCGUUCAAAGGUUUCAGGAGAGAUUGUUGGAUCCAAGAGAAGCAAGCAGGAUUAAGCUGAGCUUAAUAUAGAAGUGUAAGUGGGAUAUUACAUUGUUGAAGAUGAUUCUUAAAUGUAUCAGUGUGGUUGUCUCCAACCGAUCUUAAGCCAGUUGAUUGGUAGCCUUGAGGUGUCAAUCGAUACAAAGCUUCAAACAUCCGCUAUGAAUGUUGACAAUAUUUAUUUUAGCCACUAUGUCUCUCUUACAAUCAUGGUUUAGUUGUUUGUCAAUAAUAUAUGUUUAUGCUGUGUUGGUUGUUGUUAAAAGAUCUGUUUCUCUAAACCCAUCAUUAACAUUGCUGAUUUUGGACUGGCAGGUGUGGUUAAUCAGGGUUCACAUUUAUAGAGUAUGUUGUUAUACGCCGGUCAAGAUUUGAUUCCCUUUUUUUGUUGCAAUGUCUCUUUUAGAAUAUCAAUACAUGUGUAUAUAUGUACUUCAGUUACCCAUAUGUCGAUUAGUUGACACACCAUUGCUGCCUUACUGACUCUAAAAGCUUUGUUAUGAAGGUAAUCGGCACCUGAAGUACUUCUACAGUCCUAUGUAUACACAUUAAAAGUUGUGGCUCUGCUCUGGGAUCCAUGCAACAGACCGACUGAUGCAGAGGCUCUGUACGUUCCGUCCUUUCAGGUACACCAGAGAGUAUGUGCUUCAGACGCUAUGGCUGUUACCGUUCCUGUCUUGAUCAGUUGAUUUAACUUUUGUGUAUGAUGUUAAAUGUUUGCUUUGCAAUCUCUGUAGCUGCAGAGGCUCUGUACGUUCCGUCCUUUCUUUUACUGGACAUAUUUUUUUUUAAAGAUAAUAUUAACAAUUUAUGUUA